rnacentral:misc_RNA from 1 species
GGGAAAAUAUCAUUAUGUUCUCUAUUUCCUUGUUUUGGCAAUGCAGCCACGAAUGUUGAUGACUGUGGAUGAGAAUCUCAAACCUUUAUCUGUACCUGUUCGGGUGGGACAAGCUGUUGAUGUUGUUGGUCAGGCAGGUCGACCCAAGACUAUUACUGGUUUCCAGACACACUCAACACCCGUGCUUCUGGCUGCAGGCGAUAGAGCUGAGCUUGCUACUGAGAAGUAUAUUCCUCUUUCACCCAU